rnacentral:rRNA from 1 species
GAGUUUGAUCGUGGCUCAGAUUGAACGCUGGCGGCAGGCCUAACACAUGCAAGUCGAGCGGAUGACGGGAGCUUGCGCCUUGAUUCAGCGGCGGACGGGUGAGUAAUGCCUAGGAAUCUGCCUGGUAGUGGGGGACAACGUUUCGAAAGGAACGCUAAUACCGCAUACGUCCUACGGGAGAAAGCAGGGGACCUUCGGGCCUUGCGCUAUCAGAUGAGCCUAGGUCGGAUUAGCUAGUUGGUGGGGUAAUGGCUCACCAAGGCGACGAUCCGUAACUGGUCUGAGAGGAUGAUCAGUCACACUGGAACUGAGACACGGUCCAGACUCCUACGGGAGGCAGCAGUGGGGAAUAUUGGACAAUGGGCGAAAGCCUGAUCCAGCCAUGCCGCGUGUGUGAAGAAGGUCUUCGGAUUGUAAAGCACUUUAAGUUGGGAGAAGGGCAGUAAGUUAAUACCUUGCUGUUUUGACGUUUACCGACAGAAUAAGCACCGGCUAACUCUGUGCCAGCCGCCGACGG